GGCGUUUUCACUCAUGGCGGCAUCCUCUCUUAGUAUGCAUUUUGGAAGAAAGACUCCAAUUCGAUGUUCUUCCUCUUCUUCCUCAGCUGUUUCUUCUCAAGCCAAAUCGAUUCAGUUUGACCUCAAAACGUACUGGAAACAGCUGAUUAUCGAGAUCAACCAGAAGUUGGAUGAAGCUGUUCCAAUUCAGUACCCCGACCAGAUCUACGAGGCUAUGCGUUACUCCGUCUUGGCUCAAGGGGCCAAGCGAGC
rnacentral:misc_RNA from 1 species